ACAAAGGCAACGAUGCAUAUCCGACCUGAGAGUGUGAUCGGCCACAAUGUAAAUGAGACACGGUACAGACUCCUACGGGAGGCAGCAGUAGGGAAUCUUCCGCAAUGGUCGAAAGCCUGACGGAGCAACGCCGCGUGAGACAUGAAGGUCUUCGGAUCGUAAAACUCUGAAAUUAGGGAAGAACAUAUGUGUAAGUAACUGUGCACAUCUUGACGGUACCUAAACAGAAAGC
rnacentral:rRNA from 1 species